rnacentral:rRNA from 1 species
AAGAUUAUGACGCUGCGAGCUCACACAUGCAAGUCAGCGGUACAGGCGUAGCUUGCUACCCGCUGACGAGCGGGGACGGGUGAGUAACGCGUAGGAAUCUACCCAGUGGUGGGGGAUAGCCCGGGGAAACUCGGAUUAAUACCGCAUACGUUCUACGGAAGAAAGUGGGGGCUCUUCGGACCUCACGCCAUUGGAUGAGCCUGCGUGGGAUUAGCUAGUUGGUGGGGUAAGAGCCCACCAAGGCGACGAUCCCUAGCUGGUCUGAGAGGAUGAUCAGCCACACUGGGACUGAGACACGGACCAGACUCCUACGGGAGGUAGCAGUGGGGAAUAUUGGACAAUGGGGGCAAACCUGAUCCAGCCAUGCCGCGUGUGUGAAGAAGGCUUUCGGGUUGUAAAGCACUUUAAGUGGGGAGAAAGGACAUACGGUUAAUAGCCUUGUGUAUUGAUGUUACCCACAGAAUAAGCACCGGCUAACUCCGUGCCAGCAGCCGCGGUAAUACGGAGGGUGCAAGCGUUAAUCGGAAUUACUGGGCGUAAAGCGCGCGUAUGCGGGUAGAUAAGCGAGAUGUGAAAGCCUGUGAUCAACUGAGAACUGCAUUUCGAACUGGCAGGCUAGAGUACGGUAGAGGGUGGUAGAAUUCCCUGUGUAGGGGGGAAAUGCGUUGCUCUAGGACGGCAUACGGGGGCGAAGGCGGCACU